GAAAUGCGAUAAGUAAUGUGAAUUGCAGAAUUCAGUGAAUCAUCGAAUCUUUGAACGCACCUUGCGCUCCUUGGUAUUCCUUGGAGCAUGCCUGUUUGAGUAUCAUUAAAUCUUCAAAGUAAAUCUUUUGUUAACUCGAUUGGUUUCUACUUUGGUAUUGGAGGUCUUUGCAGCUUCACACCUGCUCCUCUUUGUUCAUUAGCUGGAUCUCAGUGUUAUGCUUGGUUCCACUCGGCGUGAUAAGUUAUCUAUCGCUGAGGACACUGUAAAAGGUGGCCAAGGUAAAUGCAGAUGAACCGCUUCUAAUAGUCCAUUGACUUGGACAAUACUUUUAUGAUCUGAUCUCAAAUCAGGUAGGACUACCCGCUGAACUUAAGC
rnacentral:misc_RNA from 1 species